rnacentral:rRNA from 1 species
AUGGCGGAUGAGGUCGUAGGGCUCGGGCAUGAUGUGGUCCAGGUGCAUGAAGCAGAAGUGCCCCACAUCAUGGAGGAGGCUGGAGGGGACGAAGAUGUCCGGGUAUGUGGAGAGCACGCCCAGGAGAGGAAGCUGAGGAGGACGCCUCCGACCGCGGGCGCACUGGCCCGUGGACAAUGGAAGCAGCGUCAGGAGCCUCCUUCCCUUCAUCGCCCGUCGAGAGGGAGACAGGGCUUGAGCGCGGCGACCCGCGUUGAGAAGGCGGGGCAGAGUCGCCAUCCGAGGACGGCGAAUGAGGCGAGCGAGGCGAGGAGGCAACAGGCUGGCGGAGGGUGA